rnacentral:rRNA from 1 species
AUUGAACGCUGGCGGCAGGCUUAACACAUGCAAGUCGAGCGGAAACGAUGGGAGCUUGCUCCCAGGCGUCGAGCGGCGGACGGGUGAGUAACGCGUAGGAAUCUGCCCAGUAGAGGGGGAUAGCCCGAGGAAACUCGGAUUAAUACCGCAUACGCCCUACGGGGGAAAGGCCGGGAUCUUCGGACCGGUCACUAUUGGAUGAGCCUGCGUUGGAUUAGCUAGUUGGUGGGGUAAAGGCCUACCAAGGCGACGAUCCAUAGCUGGUCUGAGAGGAUGAUCAGCCACACUGGGACUGAGGCACGGCCCAGACUCCUACGGGAGGCAGCAGUGGGGAAUAUUGGACAAUGGGCGCAAGCCUGAUCCAGCCAUGCCGCGUGUGUGAAGAAGGCUCUAGGGUUGUAAAGCACUUUCAGUAGGGAGGAAGGCCAAAAAGUUAAUAGCUUUUUGGAUUGACGUUACCUACAGAAGCAGCACCGGCUAACUCCGUGCCAGCAGCCGCGGUAAUACGGAGGGUGCAAGCGUUAAUCGGAAUUACUGGGCGUAAAGCGCGCGUAGGCGGUUUGGUAAGUGUGAUGUGAAAGCCCAGGGCUCAACCUUGGAACUGCAUCACAUACUGCCAGGCUAGAGUACGGUAGAGGGGGGUAGAACUCCAUGUGUAGCGGUGAAAUGCGUAGAGAUGUGGAGGAAUACCAGUGGCGAAGGCGGCCCCCUGGAUCGAUACUGACGCUGAGGUGCGAAAGCGUGGGGAACAAACAGGAUUAGAUACCCUGGUAGUCCACGCCGUAAACGAUGUCAACUAGCCGUUGGGAGGGUAAUCCUUUUAGUGGCGCAGCUAACGCUCUAAGUUGACCGCCUGGGGAGUACGGUCGCAAGAUUAAAACUCAAAUGAAUUGACGGGGGCCCGCACAAGCGGUGGAGCAUGUGGUUUAAUUCGACGCAACGCGAAGAACCUUACCUGGUCUUGACAUCCUGCGAACUUUCUAGAAAUAGAUUGGUGCCUUCGGGAACGCAGUGACAGGUGCUGCAUGGCUGUCGUCAGCUCGUGUCGUGAGAUGUUGGGUUAAGUCCCGUAACGAGCGCAACCCUUGUCCUUAUUUGCCAUCAUUUAGUUGGGCACUCUAGGGAGACUGCCGGUGACAAACCGGAGGAAGGUGGGGACGACGUCAAGUCAUCAUGGCCCUUACGACCAGGGCUACACACGUGCUACAAUGGGACGUACAAAGGGCUGCAAACCCGCGAGGGGGAGCUAAUCCCAUAAAACGUCUCGUAGUCCGGAUCGCAGUCUGCAACUCGACUGCGUGAAGUCGGAAUCGCUAGUAAUCGUAGAUCAGAAUGAUACGGUGAAUACGUUCCCGGGCCUUGUACACACCGCCCGUCACACCAUGGGAGUGGGUUGCAAAAGAAGUGGGUAGCAUAACCUUCGGGAGUGCGCUCGCCACUUUGUGAUUCAUGACUGGGGUGAAGUCGUAACAAGGUAGCCGUAGGGGAACCUGCGGCUGGAUCACCUCUUAACAAACAUCCAUGGCGCCUCAAUAAAGUGCUCACCUCUAUUACUUAAUCUGUCGUUUUGAAGGGACUGAAUAAUAGAAAGGUGAGUUAGCGUCACAUUUUGACUUUCACUUCGCAAGCGAAAGCGUAUGUAAAGGGGCCAUAGCUCAGCUGGGAGAGCGCCUGGUUUGCAUCCAGGAGGUCUGCGGUUCGAUCCCGCAUGGCUCCACCAAUCGCAAGAAAGUACACGUUUUUGCUCGGUGUGGACGGGAUUAGUUGUUCUAUUUUAGAUCACAAGAAAUUUAAAUAUGAUUUAAUGUCAUAAACCCCUUGUCAUGGGCUCUGGCACACGUAUAAUGCGUCCUCCGUGGGUUAACUGCGAUUGAACAUUUGCUUCAAUAUUUUUAUGACGAGAAUAUUGCAGCAAGUCUCUUUGGCUUGAUCUAGCACCAACACUGUUGUGGUGCUAUUAGUUCUUUAAAAAAUUUGGUGAAUGAAAUAUAUAGUUUGUAACUAUGCCUAUUAAAACCAUCUGAUGGAGAUAAUAGAGAAAAAUGUGGCAGUGAUUGUGAUGACCACUAAAACAUUUGCAUGGUGAUAAUUUAUGUAUGCUGUAACUUAACAAGUUAAACAAGCGCAAAACUGUACGAAUGAAUCGUUAUAGUUAUUGACAUAAAAAUGUAAUUUGAAUGAGACACAAAAUAAGUUGAGAAGAAAGACAAAAGGCCUUAAUGUAAUGAAGUGUUGUUUUUAAGACUGCGGUCUGAAAUAGAGUUCAUGAUUAUAUGGUCAAGCAACUAAGCGUACGUGGUGGAUGCCUUGGCAGUUAGAGGCGAUGAAGGACGUGGUAGGCCGCGAAAGGCUUCGGGGAGCAGUCAAACAUGCUUUGAUCCGGAGGUGU